UGGGGAAUUUUCCGCAAUGGGCGAAAGCCUGACGGAGCAAUACCGCGUGAGGGAUGACGGCCUAUGGGUUGUAAACCUCUUUUUUCAGGGAGGAAUCAAUGACGUGUACCUGAAGAAUAAGCAUCGGCUAACUCCGUGCCAGCAGCCGCGGUAAGACGGAGGAUGCAAGUGUUAUCCGGAAUCACUGGGCGUAAAGCGUCUGUAGGUGGUUUAAUAAGUCAACUGUUAAAUCUUGAGGCUCAACCUCAAAAUCGCAGUCGAAACUAUUAGACUAGAGUAUAGUAGGGGUAAAGGGAAUUUCCAGUGGAGCGGUGAAAUGCGUAGAUAUUGGAAGGAACACCGAUGGCGAAGGCACUUUACUGGGCUAUUACUAACACUCAGAGACGAAAGCUAGGGUAGCAAAUGGGAUUAGAUACCCCCGUAGUCC
rnacentral:rRNA from 1 species